AUUUGACUCAAUACAUGGAAUCAACAUGAAAAUGUCAAUGAUGUUUUUGCAUUCUUUUUUUAAAACCUGAUGUACGUUUUAUAAUUAUAUCUGAAUCUGGAUUAGCUACAUUUUAAGCACUCAAUAGCCUCAAUGCCAAGUGACUACCUAUUAAACAGCCCACAUGUAGAAUGUCUGUCAGUUACUGGUUUAAGUGAUUGAGUAGACGGUCAUGCAUUAACCACAUCUUGGAGAAGGAGUAGUCUUAGGGGGAAAUGCUCCUAAUUUUAUGGCAGAUAGAUUUCUCCUAAACGUGUAUAGACUCUUGCCCCAUGUCUUUAAGCCUCCCCUGGAGAAGUGGAAGAAUUUUCUGUGAGUAACUCUGGGGAAACAAACUGGGCAUUCCAGCUCAGAAACUCUAUUCUUUUCCUUUAGGAGCCAGACUGACCAGAGAAAGAACAGAGCUUUGCUUCUCCUCUCAGGGACCCCCUCCACAUAAGGAGGCCUGCCGUGGCCUAGCAUUGCCCUGAUCCAGAGCACAGUGCUAGGCCCUAGUUCUGAGGUUAUGCUGUAAACUCCUUUGACACUCACAAUAAGCCAUGUCCUUCAAAUUAGCCUUUAUCAUUAAGAGUAAAGGUAAUACUCAGCCUCCAGCUUUGCCUGUAGCAGCAGAGGUUGGUUCCAGGGAUAGAUGUGGGUGGAGAGGUUCUCAGCAAAGGGAUGCAUCUCAUGAGGGGAUUUGGAGGUGCAAGAUAGGAUUUCCUUCUUUUUCAAGGUGGAGUCAGCUCGGCCUGUUCCUUUCCUCCCUCCAAGUUCACCCCCUGCACUGGAAAGGUGGAUUCCUAACCACUGGGCUGCUAGGGAGGUCCCCGAAAGCUCUCACAAUUUAUAUUUUGGCAACUAAUCCAAAUUACUUAAAGGAAAAUAAAAAGGAAGGAAGAAAGAGAGGAAGGAUGGGAGGGAGGAAGCACAGAAGGGAAACAAGGAACCAAGGAGAAGAGGAAGGGAAGAGAGAGAAAGCCAGACUCUGAAGCCUGCCACCUCUCCCUCAGGGCUGGCCAGUUACUGCCUGCUCUUGGCCUCUGUGCUGUUGCUUUGGCAAAUAGAGCCUCAUCCUCAGCACCCGUGUUAAAGAGUUCCAGAUUGGCAUUUUCUCUUAGAGGUAGUUAUAUUAGCCUUUACUUUCUGUGAAACCCCUUGGGUAGUGGAGGGGUAAGGCCUCUGUCCCCCACCGCUGCUAAUAUUUGGAGCCCCUGGACUUCCCUGGUGGCUCAGACAGUAAAGCAUCUGCAAUCUGAGAGACCCAGGUUCGAUCCCUGGGUCAGGAAGACCCCCUGGAGAAGGAAAUGGCAGCCCACUCCAGUACUCUUUCCUGGAAAAUCCCAUGGACAGAGGAGCCUGGUGGGCUACAGUCCAUGGGGUCGCAGAGUCGGACACAACUGAGCGACUUCACUUCACUUCAGGCCAAGGGUCCCCAGCCCCCAGGCCACAGACUAUUGGCAGUCUGUUAGCAACUGCGCUGCACAGCAGGACGUGAGCAGAGGGCAAGCAAGUGAAGCUUCAUCUGCAUUUACAGCCGCUCCCCAUUACCUCCUGAGCAGGAAAACAAGCUCAAGGCUCCCACUGAUUCUGCGUUAUGAUGAGCUAUAUAAUUAUUUCAUUAUAUAUCACAAUGUAAUAAUAAUAAAGUGUACAAUAAAUGUAAUGUGCUUGAGUCAUCCCGAAACCAUCCCCUCCACCCCUGGUCUGAGAAAAAAUUUUCUUCCAGGAAACCAGUCCCUGGUGCCAAAAAGGUUAGGGCUUUAGGUCAAUGCUGGCCCUUUGGCUCCACAUGUAGGAACAAGACGGAUCCCCUUCCUGUCCAGGGAGAGGCUUGCCAUCCUGGGCAGCACUGUGCUUUCUGCCCCUGCUCCUGCCCUCUACCCCUGCUGCAGAUGGAGCUCACAUCACAGCCUGGCCAGGGAGCUAAGAGGCCAGGUUCAAGGGGCCACUGUGGGCUGCCAAAAGAAAUUUCCCUUCCUUAACUGGUCAGGAGCAGACAAGCGGCACAGAGCUCAUGUAACAUUUUCACCAUGUGCGAUUUUGAAAGAACCCUGUUCCACAGAGAAAACCUUUCAAAGACUUUUCUUUGUAAACAGACCUGAUGAUAAAGACAUGCUAAGUCCUAGAGCCCAGAGGCUGU
rnacentral:lncRNA from 1 species